CUGGGCGUAGCUCAACAGCAGAGCGCUCGUUUUGGAAGCGAGAGGCCGGACGGGCAGCACGUCCCGCCCAGACCA
rnacentral:tRNA from 1 species